AUUGAACGCUGGCGGCAUGCCUUACACAUGCAAGUCGAACGGUAACAGGUCUUUCGGGAUGCUGACGAGUGGCGAACGGGUGAGUAAUACAUCGGAACGUGCCUAGUAGUGGGGGAUAACUACUCGAAAGAGUGGCUAAUACCGCAUGAGAUCUAUGGAUGAAAGCAGGGGACCUUCGGGCCUUGUGCUACUAGAGCGGCCGAUGGCAGAUUAGGUAGUUGGUGGGAUAAAUGCUUACCAAGCCUACGAUCUGUAGCUGGUCUGAGAGGACGAUCAGCCACACUGGGACUGAGACACGGCCCAGACUCCUACGGGAGGCAGCAGUGGGGAAUUUUGGACAAUGGGCGCAAGCCUGAUCCAGCAAUGCCGCGUGCAGGAUGAAGGCCUUCGGGUUGUAAACUGCUUUUGUACGGAACGAAAAGUCUUGGGUUAAUACCCUGGGAUCAUGACGGUACCGUAAGAAUAUGCACCGGCUAACUACGUGCCAGCCGCCGCAGUAAAAC
rnacentral:rRNA from 1 species